rnacentral:tRNA from 11 species
GCCCGGGUGGUGGAAUUGGUAGACGCAGCGGACUCAAAAUCCGCCGCCGCAAGGCGUGCCGGUUCGAUUCCGGCCCCGGGCACCA